rnacentral:rRNA from 1 species
CAGUCGCCGCGGGAAUACGAAGGGGGCUAGCGUUGUUCGGAAUUACUGGGCGUAAAGCGCACGUAGGCGGAUACUUAAGUCAGGGGUGAAAUCCCGGGGCUCAACCCCGGAACUGCCUUUGAUACUGGGUAUCUCGAGUCCGGAAGAGGUGAGUGGAAUUCCGAGUGUAGAGGUGAAAUUCGUAGAUAUUCGGAGGAACACCAGUGGCGAAGGCGGCUCACUGGUCCGGUACUGACGCUGAGGUGCGAAAGCGUGGGGAGCAAACAGGAUUAGAUACCCCCGUAGUCCCUGUCUCUUAUAC